AUUGAACGCUGGCGGCAUGCCUUACACAUGCAAGUCGAACGGAAACAGGUCUUCGGAUGCUGUCGAGUGGCGAAGGGGGGCGGAAUACAAACGCAUGUGCCAGCUCGCGGUGGAAAACGAAGCAAAAGCGGAGCUAAGACCGCAUACGAGAUAAGGUAGAGAGCCGGGGGGCGCAAGACUUUACGCGGACGUUGCGGCCGCUGGCAGAUUAGGUAGUUGGUGGGAUAAAAGCUUACCAAGCCGACGAUCUGUAGCUGGUCUGAGAGGAGGAGCAGCCACACUGGAACUGAGACACGGCCCAGACUCCUACGGGAGGCAGCAGUGGGGAAUUUUGGACAAUGGGCGAAAGCCUGAUCCAGCCAUGCCGCGUGCAGGAUGAAGGCCUUCGGGUCGUAAACUGCUUUUGUACGGAACGAACAGACGCUUGUGAAUACCUGGACUUCAUGACGGUACCGUAAGAAUAAGCACCGGCUAACUACGUG
rnacentral:rRNA from 1 species